rnacentral:rRNA from 1 species
UUAUAUGAGAGUUUGAUCCUGGCUCAGGACGAACGCUGGCGGCAUGCCUAAUACAUGCAAGUCGAACGCACGAAGUUGAAAAGCUUGCUUUUCGACCAA